GCCGGGAGUGGUGGUGUGCACCUGUAGUCCCAGCUACUCAGGAGGCCGAGGUGGGAGAAUUGCUUGAACCCAGGAGGCAGAGGUUGCAGUGAGCCAAGAUUGCGCCACGGCACUCCAGCCUGGGUGACAGAGCAAGACUCCAUCUCUU
rnacentral:sRNA from 1 species